GUGUCCCUGCUCAUGAAGAUGUUUCGUUGCCCAUUCUAAUUCAUGUGGUCAACAAUGCAUCUCAACUUACCAAGAGUUUCUUAUUCCCCAUCCUGAAAGGCAGUUAGUGAUUGGAUUUGAUUGCAAGGAUGUUUGCGUUUGUCAAUACAGAGUCAUUUGCAUCAUGCAGCCAUGGUGCUUGUUGGAGAGGAAGCAGUUGUCACCAGAUGCAGAACAAGUAGGAAGCUAAGGCCGCAUGGAUUAUUGAUCCAUUCAUGGGUUGCAGAAUGAAUGAAAAUAUUAUCAUUCUUAAACAUUGAGGUGAAGAAAAACAUGAAGACAACCUUGGCACUAUGUUUGAAGGUGCUAACCCAGACUGUCGGUUCAUUUCCUUCACUUUUUGGUUGUGUCAAUCAAGCUGAGGCAACAGCAGAAGAAUUGUAUUGAAGAUUUUUACCAUCAGAAAUACUAUGUUGUGUUUCGAGUUUUGUUUUUUUUUAUAAAAAAACAUUUUUAUGCAUGUAUAAUAACUUCAUUUCUUAUGCCCUCUCAUUUGCAGUAAGUUUAUUAUAAUCUGUAAGAAAAUUUAUGCAGUGUUACAAUUAUUUAGCUAAAAUCAGUAUGGUGAAGUUGGCUCCUUG